GACGAACGCUGGCGGCGCGCCUAACACAUGCAAGUCGAACGAGCGAGAGAGAGCUUGCUUUCUCGAGCGAGUGGCGAACGGGUGAGUAACGCGUGAGGAACCUGCAUCAAAGAGGGGGACAACAGUUGGAAACGACUGCUAAUACCGCAUAAGCCCACAGCUCGGCAUCGAGCAGAGGGAAAAGGAGCAAUCCGCUUUGAGAUGGCCUCGCGUCCGAUUAGCUAGUUGGUGAGGUAAUGGCCCACCAAGGCGACGAUCGGUAGCCGGACUGAGAGGUUGAACGGCCACAUUGGGACUGAGACACGGCCCAGACUCCUACGGGAGGCAGCAGUGGGGAAUAUUGCACAAUGAGGGAAACCCUGAUGCAGCGACGCCGCGUGGAGGAAGAAGGUCUUCGGAUUGUAAACUCCUGUUGUUGAGGAAGAUAAUGACGGUACUCAACAAGGAAGUGACGGCUAACUACGUGCCAGCAGCCGCGGUAAAACGUAGGUCACAAGCGUUGUCCGGAAUUACUGGGUGUAAAGGGAGCGCAGGCGGGAAGGCAAGUUGGAAGUGAAAUCCAUGGGCUCAACCCAUGAACUGCUUUCAAAACUGUUUUUCUUGAGUAGUGCAGAGGUAGGCGGAAUUCCCGGUGUAGCGGUGGAAUGCGUAGAUAUCGGGAGGAACACCAGUGGCGAAGGCGGCCUACUGGGCACCAACUGACGCUGAGGCUCGAAAGUGUGGGUAGCAAACAGGAUUAGAUACCCUGGUAGUCCACACUGUAAACGAUGAUUACUAGGUGUUGGAGGAUUGACCCCUUCAGUGCCGCAGUUAACACAAUAAGUAAUCCACCUGGGGAGUACGACCGCAAGGUUGAAACUCAAAGGAAUUGACGGGGGCCCGCACAAGCAGUGGAGUAUGUGGUUUAAUUCGACGCAACGCGAAGAACCUUACCAAGUCUUGACAUCCUGCGACGGUGCUGGAAACAGUACUUUCCUUCGGGACGCAGAGACAGGUGGUGCAUGGUUGUCGUCAGCUCGUGUCGUGAGAUGUUGGGUUAAGUCCCGCAACGAGCGCAACCCUUAUGGUCAGUUACUACGCAAGAGGACUUUGGCCAGACUGCCGUUGACAAAACGGAGGAAGGUGGGGAUGACGUCAAAUCAUCAUGCCCUUUAUGACUUGGGCUACACACGUACUACAAUGGCGUUAAACAAAGAGAAGCAAGACCGCGAGGUGGAGCAAAACUCAGAAACAACGUCCCAGUUCGGACUGCAGGCUGCAACUCGCCUGCACGAAGUCGGAAUUGCUAGUAAUCGCAGAUCAGCAUGCUGCGGUGAAUACGUUCCCGGGCCU
rnacentral:rRNA from 1 species